AACGUAGGAGGCGAGCGUUAUCCGGAUUCACUGGGCGUAAAGCGCAUGUAGGUGGUUCGCCAAGUCGACUGUGAAAGCCUCUGGCUCAACUGGGGGAGGUCAUUCGAAACUGGUGGACUUGAGGGUCCGAGAGGCAAGUGGAAUUCCCGGUGUAGCGGUGGAAUGCGUAGAGAUCGGGAGGAACACUCGUGGCGAAGGCGGCUUGCUGGCGGACUUCUGACACUGAGAUGCGAAAGCGUGGGGAG
rnacentral:rRNA from 1 species